AGAAUCUGUGUGAUUUUAAGAUGGUUCUUCAGGAUACUAGUCUGCCAUCUUCCAAUUAUGCUGGCUAAUUGUAUAAACUUUCCUUUCUCAACCACCAACUUGUUUGCAAUUGAUUGGCACCAGACUGUGGUGAGCAGAAUGAGCCCCUUUUUGCUCAGUCACAUAAAUAUUUUACUGCAAGAGAAAAUAUUUCGCCAUAAUCUCAGAUUUUUACACAUGUUUUGGGUUCUUCUAGAGGUAAAUAAAUGUUUGCUUCAAAAAAGAACAUUAGCUAAUGUUGAAAUUAUUAUGAAAAGACCUUGACUGAAAACUAUUCAGUUAUAAAAAUCAGACCUUUAAAAGUCAAUAGUGACUAGGAAAAAGUUAUUACAGCAACAUAGUCUGAGGUGAAAAGUGCCGUGAAAAUGAUUUAAAAAGAAAAUAGUCAAACGGGAUCGACCAUGACGGUGUUGGAAGAAAUUAUUUUCUACAGUUGAGAGUUUUCUAAUUAUAGAGAUGACAUAUGUUCACUUUAGAAAGUGUGGAAAACACAAAGUUAGAAAAUGAAAUCACCAGUAAUCCUUUCCAUCAACCCUAAGAGGAUAACUGCUAAAAUUUUAGUAGACAUCAUCUUGUGAAAUAAAGAUUUUUAGAAAAAUGUAUUGCUAUCUUAAAUGAGAAAAGGUUAGGUUACAAGAUAAUGCAAGCCUAAUGUCCUUUAAAAAUACACACACACACACAGAACUGGGGGAAUAAUUAUUGCAUGUUAUUUUCAUGAGGUCAUUUUGAUGUAAGCCUAAGAAACCAUCCAACUUUCACUCCUUAAAAUUACCAAGUAAUGUGCACUACCAGUGCUCUCACCCCAAACCCCAGUGCACCUAGGACCCUCUAAGGCUCGGGGACGGGAUGAGACUCAAAGAUGGGAUAGGUUAUCGAUCUUUGUUUUGAAAAUUAUUUCCAAAACCAGGAAAUCUCCUACGUCCCACAAGCCUGGGUAUCCUUUGAACAUUCAUCCUUAGGGACGCUGGAUCAAUAGCUGCCACCAAGAUAAUCAUCUCAUAUAUGUUAAGAGCUGUUAUCUGACUCACCUGUUUUCAGAUUUCUUAGGCUUUGAUGCCUGUGCUUGGCUGUGGCUUGGACACUAAUAAUACCGUGUAUUGGUGCCAUUGUCACCACAGCCUUCAGGGUUUCCUCAGCAUCUCUGUUUGUUAUUCUUUACAGUUCAUUACUGUCUUCCCUCCAGUUGGGAUGGAAGCACUGUCUUCUUCUAGCAUCCAAGAUUGGAGGGUGGGGGGUGGAGUUGGGGAGCAUCCCACGGCAAAGGGCUAGGUCGAUGUUUUGUGGCUUAGCCACAGCCCUCUCUUUCCGGGAAAGCAUGUAUGCUGGAGUGGGUGGGGUGUGGUACAGGCUCUGGGUCUGCAUGGAUCCCAGCGCAGUCUCACAUGCCUCCAGAACUUCACGCUGCCAGAAUCCUUCUCUAUUAACGUUUAUUUCUCUCAGGGGGCCCACUUGACUCUCUCUGCAAAACAGUUUCCACAACCAUCUCACAUUCCACAGAUGGAGCUGUAUACAUUUGAACUCCAGUUUGGGGCAGAGGUCAGUUUCCUUUCCAUCGGUUUUACAGGCCCUCCACAAAUCAGGGAGUAUGACGAAAUGUCCGUUCAGGGUAUCAGUUAGGAUGCAUUUGGCUGCAAAUAACAAGACUCUCAGCUUAAAAACUGACUUAAUAAGGGAAUUUAUGUCAUAUAAUUAGAAAGCCACAAGUAGGACAUUCUCUAGGUAUAGAAUAAAUGAGCUGCUUAACAGGUUAUCAAGGAUCUUGCCUUUUCUCUCACUAGACCAUCUCCAGGGCUCACUUCAUUCUAAUAUUGACCUCCUGUCGUUAUAGAAUGGUUCCAGGCAAGGCCAGAGCUGUUGCAUGUUUCUACCCAGAUGCAGUGAGAGACAUCUGAAUGAGAUUUGGUCCCACCAAGCCAUGUAUUAUUGCCAAUUUCAGUCACAUGCCAGCCUGAAUCUGAGUGCCUGGUCCACUGCUAUUUUAAAUAUGGAGGUCAGGGUGGACCUUCACCACGUGGGAAGAGCAUGCCAGGCAAGGAAAUAGCAAGUGCAAAGGGGCUCUAAUGUAGGCUUCGGCCUGGUGUGUUCAAGGACCAGAAAGGCGACAGUGCGGCUAGCAGAAUGAACAAGGAAACAAGAUCAGAGGGUAACAGGGUAGAGAGGAAUAAGGAGAGGGAGAGAGAAUGCAGGUUCUAUAAAGAGUUUGACUUUUACUCUGACUGAAAUUAGAAGCCAUUGUCGGCUUCUCAACAGAGGAAAGACAUAAUCAGAUUUCAUUUAAAAGGAUCAAUCUGGGGGCCAGUCUCAUGGCCUAGUGGUUAACCUUGAGGGGCUCCACUUUGGUGGCCCAAAUUUGGCUCCUGGGCACAGACCUACACAACUUGGUGGCCAUGCUGUGGCAGUGACCCACAUACAAAACAGAGGAAGAUUGGCACACAUGAAAGCUCAGGGUGAAUCUUCCUCAGCAAAAACAAAAACCAAAAAAGGAUCAAUCUGGCUGUAGUAUUGAGGAAAGCCUGUGGGGAGCAAUAGUGGAAGACGCUUUUGGUUAGGAGAUAACUAUAGUAAUCCAGACAGGAUAUGAUGGCUCGAACUGUGAUGGCAGUAGCGGGAAUGGAGAAAAGUAUCAGAUUCUAGACAUAUCUUGAAUAGAGUCAACAGGAUUUGCUGGUGGAUUGAAUACAGGCCAUGAAAAAAUAGAGAAGUCAAGGAAGACUCUCAUUUUUGGGUCAAGAACUGGAAGGAUGGAGUAACCUAAAUGGGGAAGAAUGUGGAAAGAGCAGUUUUAGGGGGCAGGAUCAAGAGCUCAAUUUUGGACAUGAGUCAAGUUCAAGAGAAAGGUCUGUGUUAAAACAUAUAAAUUUGGCAGUCCUCGGUAGAGAGAUGGUAUUUAAGGCCUCAAAACUGGUUGACAUUACCAAGGGAGUGGGUGUAGGCAGAGAAAAGAACUAAAGACUGAGUCCUGGUGCACCCAAACAUUAAGUGUUAAUGGAGAAGAGGAAAGACAGCAAAGGAAGCUGAAGAGUGACCAGUGAAAUAAGCAAAAAUGUAAGAGAAUGCGGAAGACAAAUGAAGAGAAUGUCCAACACGGAGGAGGUGAUCAACUGUGUCAAAAACUACUGAUAGAUCAAGUAAGAUGAGGGACUGACAACUGACUAUUAUAUUCAGCAAUGGUGUGGACAUAGGUGACCCUGAAGAGAGCAGUUUCAGUGGAGUAAGGUGGGAGGGGUGGCUCUAAUUAGAGUGGGUUCAGGAGAAGAUGAGAGGAGAGAAAUUGGAGACAGUGAGAAUAUUCAACUCUUUACCACAAAAGGAGCAAAGAAAUGGGGUGAUUGAUGGAAGAGGGAAGUGGCAUGAAAGUUCUUUUGUUUGUUUUAAAGUGGAACAUAUUUGUAUGCUGAUGGAAUUGAUCCAGUAAAGAGUGAGAAAUUGAUGAUGUAGCAGGGAACAAGAAAAGUCGCCCUUGAUGUCUUUGAGUAGGAGACAGGAGCUAGUGUACAAGUGAAGGUAUUAGACUCGGAUAGGAGCCUAGAUAAUUCAUUUAUGGAAAAGACCAGGGAGUAUAUGGCGGUAUAGAUGCCGGGAGUUACAUCGAUGUGGUAGUAUGACUCUGUGGAAGUUUUACCCCGAUGCAUCCAUAUUCUCAAGACCCUCAUCUGGGCAUGAGGAUGGGGAGGAAGGUGAUGGGAGUUGAGGAGAAAAGAAAAGUCAUAAAACAGUUGUCAAGGAGACCAGAAGAGUAAAUGGAGCAAAAGCACAUAGUGUGACCAGCUGGCAGAUAAAGGACACACUUGAGAGUCACGACUUUGAUUUUCAAUUGAGUCCAAUUAACAGCACUUUUGUCCCACCUCACCCUCACCCCCAGCUACACUCAGGUGCAUGGGUACAGAGACAAAAAUUGGAAAACUGGAUUUAAUCAGGAUAGUAGAUUUGCCAAGACAGUUCAACAAAUGAGUUCUAAAAAUGAGGAGGAAUUGAGGUGCAGGAGAGAAGGGCCCGGCAGCGACAGUGAAGAGUAGUGCACGUAACCUGAUGAUAUAAAAUUCAAAAGUCAAAGGCAGCUUUAGAGAAUAGGGAGAGAGCACGGUCUGAUAGUAACUGCCAACCCUAAAAACACAAGAGAUUUCACAUAAUCCAUAUAGACUUCACAAAAUCGGCUUUCACAUAAAAUCCUUGCUUCUCUCUGAAUCAAAACAUGUGGCCAAGUAGGCCUUGCUGGUUGCUUCACUCACCCACAGUGACUUCCUGGCUCCUCUGCAUAUUUGAGUUUGGCGCCCCUUUUCUAGCAAUUCAAUGCCUACCAAGUACUUAAUCGUAUCUUGGCUCUAUUGCUCAACUUAUUCAAGUAGCCUCUUUGAGAACUAUAGGGCUUCUUAAACGCGUACAGAUUGGCAUUAACACCUUAGCUAUUUGAACAGAGGGAUACAGAAACUUUUGCCCAAACAGUAUUGGGUUUAUCAAUUUUCAAGCGUAUUUUGCGGGAUACUUCAGCUGAGAAACACUUGGAAAUUCAGGUUGGGGUACUAAAUGGUCGCGUAGCAUCACGGUUGAUCUCCAGGGGGCGCCGUUCCCAAAGAGUACAAAUCUGAAAGGUUUCAAACAGGUGUGGGUUUUAGUCGAUGGCCAUUGUGCACUCUUCAUUCGUUAAGGUCGGGAUUUUUCUGACCACUUUCGAAGCGUCUCCUCUUAUUUACAUCAUGCAUGCGGUGGGAGGUUACUGCAUGGACAGUAGGAGAUUUCAGAACAAUAGUCCGUUUUACUUAAACUCCAUGUUCAAAGCAAAAGGAAGAUUAAAAGGAAGCACCCUGAGGAACAGAAGCGUGGUCGAACAUGCUUUCAUCAGUAGAGCCCAGGAGGAAGAGAAGGGAGUAAAACCAGACAGAGCAUGGAGAAGGGGCAGCCUCUUCAAGGACCACAAUUUCACUCCACUUGGUUCUGUCUUUUUUCUAUUGUUGUAUCUACGUCCACCUUUCCCAAUAACCACUUCAUACGUGCACGCUUAUCUGUUUAAAUUCAGUCAAAGUCAGGAGGAACACGUGCCAAACGUUGAGAGUGUCUGUCUUCAGCUGAGUGAUUAUUUUCUUCGUGCAACUUUUCUGUGUUUUCCAAGCGUUCCUCAAUGAACGUGUCUCGCUUUUCUAACGGAAAACACGAAGUCAACUUUACAAAGAAGUGACGACAGAUUCCCUAUCCAUCCACGCCAGGAGACAGCCCCUGCCGGGACGGACCUGGGGUGGCGGACUCCCCAUAGUUCGGCCCUCCGGGUCUUGGGGCAGCUCGCCCUCGGCUCUGCCUCUUCAGGCACGUCCCACAUCCGGAGCAACCAGACGCCCGGGAGCGGGCGGGGAGCCCGGCCUGCAGCCGCGGGCACCCGGGGAGCGCGCUCGGCGUCACGUGGGCCGGCCGGCCGGGCCGCCGUCGUAGAAGCAGAAUUUCCGCGGUUGUGUAACUGCCCCCCGCGGGCGCGCAGCGGCCUGGCCUCGUCUCCCUCCUCCACCGGGCCCUGCUCUCCGGCGGCAGAGCCAUGGCCUGGGCGGCGGCGGCGGGCGGCGGCGGGGCCCGCGGCGAGCUCUCGGCGCACACGCUCCUCUUCGACCUGCCUCCCGUGCUGCUGGGCGAGCUCUGCGCCGUCCUGGACAGCUGCGACGGCGCGCUCGGCUGGCGCAGCCUCGCGGAGCGACUUUCAAGCAGCUGGCUGGAUGUUCGUCACAUUGAAAAGUAUGUAGACCAAGGGAAAAGUGGAACGAGAGAAUUGCUUUGGUCCUGGGCACAGAAAAACAAGACCAUCGGUGACCUUUUACAGAUCCUCCAGGAGAUGGGGCAUCAUCGAGCUAUCCAUUUAAUUACAAACCAUGGAGCAGCCUUGAAUCCUUCAGAGCAGAGUCACCUGGGAGAUGGAUUUCCAAGCAUGUUACCCAAGGAAACAACCAAUGUCACAGUGGAUAAUGUUCUUAUUCCUAAACAUAAUGAAAAAGGAAUAUUGUUUAAACCUUCUAUCAGCUUUCAAAACAUCACAGAAGGAACCAAAAAUUUCCAAAAAGACUUCCUAAUUGGAGAAGGGGAGAUUUUUGAGGUGUACAGAGUGGAGAUCCAAAACCGAACGUAUGCCGUUAAAUUAUUUAAACAGGAGAAAAAAAUGCAAUGUAAGCAACAAUGGAAGAGCUUUUUAUCUGAGCUUGAAGUUUUACUACUGUUUCAUCAUCCAAACAUUCUGGAGUUGGCUGCAUAUUUUACAGAGAGUGACAAGUUCUGCCUGGUUUAUCCGUAUAUGAGAAAUGGGUCCCUUUUUGACAGACUGCAGUGUGUAGGUAACACAGCCCCGCUCUCUUGGCACAUUCGAAUCAGUAUCUUAAUAGGAGCGUGCAAGGCCAUCCAGUAUUUGCACAACAUCGAGCCGUGCUCAGUUGUCUGUGGCAGCAUCUCCAGUGCAAACAUACUUUUGGAUGAUCAGUUUCAACCCAAACUAACUGAUUUUGCCGUGGCGCACUUCCGACCCCACCUUGAACACCAGCACUGCACCAUCAGCGUGACCGGCUGCAACAGGAAACACCUGUGGUACAUGCCCGAGGAGUACGUCAGGCAGGGCAGACUCACCGUCAAAACCGACGUCUACAGCUUUGGGAUUGUAAUCAUGGAAGUUCUGACAGGUUGUAAAGUGGUGUUGGAUGAGCCCAAGCACAUCCAGCUGAGGGAUCUUCUUAUGGAAUUGAUGGAGAAGAGAGGCCUUGAUUCAUGUCUCUCAUAUCUAGAUAAGAAAGUGUGUCCCUGUCCUCGGAAUUUCUCUGCCAAGCUGUUCUCUUUGGCGGGCCAGUGUGCUGCAACACGGGCCAAGUUGAGACCAUCGAUGGAUGAAGUCCUGACCGUUCUUGAGAGCGCUCCGGCCAGCUUGUAUUUUGCUGAAGACCCUCCCGCCUCACUGAAGUCCUUCAGGUGUCCUUCUCCUCUGUUCUUGGACAACGUACCAAGUAUUCCAGUGGAAAAUGAUGAAAACCAGAAUAACUCUUCCCUGCCUCCUGAUAAAGGUUGGAGAAAAGAGAGAAUGACUCAGAAAAUUCCCUUUGAGUGUAGCCAGUCUGAGGUUACGUUUCUGGGCUUUGAGAGAAAGACAGGGAGUCAGAGAAAUGAGGAUGCUUGCAACAUACCCAGUUCUUCUUGUGAAAAGAGUUGGUCUCCAAAGGAUGCAGCUCCAUCCCAGGACUCCAGCGCCUGUGGUGUGACUAUGGACCCUUCUGCAGAAGCUCUGGGCCAGUCUUACAGGAGCAGGCCAAUGGAGAUUAGCUGGUCUUCUGAAUUUUCCUGGAAUGAAUGUGAAGAGUACAAAAAGGAGUCAAUUUCACCAGAAGAUAAGGAAGAAAGCAAAUAUUGCUGAGGUACCUGAGUGCUGGUGUCAUCAUGGGGAGACAUUGUCUUUCACGAGUAAUGCCAAGAGGAUGAGUGAUGGUGAAUUUGGGUAAUGCUGAUCAACAAUCUGGAAAAUUCUAUUCCUUCCUUUCUACCUCGAAAAACGGGGUGGCUUAAAAAUUUGUUUUAUCAGGAUAAUUGCUUCAUGAUCAAACCUGGGCUCUGGCUUCGGACAAGCACAACAAUGAAAACCUACCGGAAAGGGACUGGAUUCUAAUGGUCUCUAUCAGCAUCCGCGUGAGCUCAGAGCCUCCGGUCUGCUGAGUAUGGAGUGAAAUCUUGCAUCCUGCUGUGGGCAAUGAGAGAAUACCUCCAUGACUUCGUGAUAUGGAGACUAAGAUACAUGACGAAACCAAGAAAGAGCCUCCGAAUGUUCUCUCCGAUCAGCAAACAGGAAUGAGUAAAGAAUUUCACUCAUCUUUAUCCUUGGAGCGCCCGUGGGCAAUCCUCCAGGCAGAUCCUAUGUACUUGUUAGGGUUUUUGUCUCAUUUUAUAAUUUCCCCCAAACAUGGAGAAUAUGUUGUCUUUGAAAAUAGCUGUGGGGUUUCUGACAUAAUCAGUUGUAUUGGCUUCUUGAGAAGUGUUAUGAUGGUCUGUCACUCACUGCAUACAGUGAUGUGUCACAGUUGGUACAUCAGCCUGUGUAAUAUGACUUUCCUGACCUGAGCUUCAGUGAGUAUGGCAAGUGAGGAUUACCAUGAGUCACGUUCGUUAAGCAUCUGCCAGAAGCCAGGCACCGUGUUGGCUACUUGGGUACCAAGUAAGAUGCAAGCAUUUUAGGAAGGAAGGAAAGGCGUCUGCCCUAGUGAACAGAACAGUGACAUCUGUUAUGUGAACCACAAAUCAUUGGAACCAAAAGUGAGGGUGGGGAAAAGAGGAAGGAGGUAGAGAUUACUGUGCACUUUUGAGAAAGUAAGGAAGGCUCUUGGAGAAGGCUCCUGGAAAGACAGAAGGGAUUAAGAGAAAUAGGAGAGUGCCCGAGAAGCUCUCCAGGAUGGAUACACAGGGAAUUGGAGGCCCACGGCUCUACCAGAGCUUUGCACAGCCCCGUCUCUGGGGCUAGAAGGGUGGCAUGAGGGCCAAGGGAACGGGGCCCAGAGCUGUGCACGUUUCUUCUUGUUUAACCCUUACAGCCUACCGGAAGAUACAAUUCCUAUUUUAGAGGUAAGGAAACUGACGCAGGGAGGGUGUGUGACUUGCCUCAGGUCCUCCCCGAUCUGGAGGAGCCAGCGUUUGAACCCGCAUCUGUCUGACUUCAAAGCCUGUGUUCUUUCUUGUCCUGCACAUUACACAAAGAAGGCACUGCAGAUUCAAGCUCCUACGAAAAGGAAUGGAUGUGAAAAGUCAUUUGUUGAUUCCAGAAAUUUUCAGUAGGCACAGAAGCCUCGCCGCGCCUUCUGCCCUUUUCAUUAUCCUGCUCCUCUGCUGUGGGCACCCACCUCUGUGGUCAUUUGAUGUGAGUUAAGUGAAUUCUUUCAUCCAUCGAUUCAUUCAUUGAACAAGUGUUUACCAACAGCCUCCUUUGUGCCAGGGGCACUGUUCUAGGAGCUGGGGAUACGGCCAAGAUGGAAUCUGACUAAGAUCCGUGCCCUCGUGGAACUUAGGUUUGAGGGAAUAAAUGAACGAGUGGUGAAUAGGGAACUCCGUGGGAGAGCUUCAUCUCAGUUCUAACGCUGACUGGCAGCUCUGCGUGAGCUCUCCACACAAAGCCGUCUCAGAGUGUUCUCGGAUGUAGACCCUGCCUUCUCUGCCAGCUCCUCUGUCGGGUUUCAGAGAGCUUUUCCCCUUAUCCUGUUGAAUAGCUGAUAUCUCCCCAUGUACCCAGCGUUUUUCUGUGAAUGUGCACUAAGCAGUCACUGACACAGCCUUUUCUUCCCUUGACCUAUGAGUUCUUCAGGGCAUUCACCUGACAGCUGAUGCCAUCUUCAGCAGGCUGCUUCUACGGAAUCUAUGCGUGCCUCCCUCUAUUGCCCCAUACUGGAAUUGACAGUUGACAUCUCUCUUCUCCUCCACAACAUGGAAACUUCCCUGAGGGCAAGGCCUAUAUUCUGCUCAUUUUUCUGUCCUUAAAAGCCAGCACAGUACCUGGCACAUAAUAUGGCUCCGUAAAUAUUUGUAAAAUGAAUGAAUCAUAUAGUUCUUCACAAUAUCUUCAAAAUUGCUGGUAUCUGGUGUACCAAGACUGCUAUCUAGAUUGCACCUGAAGUUUGUCUAUCUAACAUCCAGACUAUCAUCAAUCAUUUGCUUAAAUGGUUUCAUCUCACCAUUCUGGGAUAAAAAUUAUUAAUUUCAAAUACUGAUAUCUGAGCUGUCUUUGAAAAGAGGAAUUAGACAGUGUGUAUAUUGCUUAUAAAUUUGCUUCGUGGUGGAAAAUAUCCCAAACCGUGCCCAAGCAAUGAUGGACCAGCAUUUUGACAGGGAAUAAACUCAUGUUAGUUGUAUUUUGUUUCCAUUUGUCUGUCCCACAUUGUUUAUAUAUAUUUGAUGGUCCAUUACACUUGACUUGCAAGUAUUUUCUUGGGAGUCAUUUUUAUUCCAAAGAUCUACAUUGCCUACCUAACCUUCACUUAGGAGCAUUCUUACUGACGUCAUCUGCUUUGUUGCAAACUUUUGUGGUCAUCUGUAUAAAUAGCACGAGAAUAAUUCCAAGGUUUUUUAUCGGAUGCUUAAUUUUAAAAUUUUCUUAUAGACCACUAAUUGGGAUGGAGGGUAAGAAGGUAGGAAGAGUUUACUUGCAGGAGAUUCAGACUCAGUUAAUAUCAAUGUGUCUAGUAGUGUGCUAGAUGCAUUCACACAUCAUUUAAGCUUUAAAUGCCUAUUGAGCUGCAUUCUGUUACUCUAAAAUCAAGGAAAGUGAGGCUCAAAUAAGUUGACACUUGCCCAGGGUCACACCGAUGACGGAAUGGGGAUACAAACCAAAACUCUUUAUUCCAGCCCUGGAAAUAUCUGCUCUGAAAAGGGGUAACUUAAAAAUUAAAAGUAUCCCCUAUUUGAAAAUGAAAACAGCUAAUAAAUACAUGUAUGUGUUUGUUGUUUUAAUAUUAUUGUUAAUUUUGUCCUCCCAGAUUGGUCAAGAUUAAAGCAAUUGACAAGAAUGUGGGCAAAUGGGCAUUCUUGUUCACUAUUGGCAGGAGGGGAAAUUGGUACAACCUUUUUAGAAGGCAAUAUGUAUCAAAUUUGUCAAUAUGUAUCAAACACUUAAAUUAUGAUACACUUUUACACAGCAAUUUGUUUAGGAAUUUAUCCUAAUGAAUAAAAAUUUCACAGGUAUGUAAACGUGAGCACAAAGAUGUACUUUAUGAUGUUUAUGAUAUUAAAAUAUUGGAAACAGCCUAAAUAUCCUUCAAUAGAAGAUGAGUUAAAUGAAUGAUGGCUCAUAUAUACAGUAGAGGUGUAUGCAACUGUCAUUAAAGACCAUUUAGAUCUGUGUUUAUUGCUAUGGAAAUUUGUCCUUGAAAUAUGGAAUGAAAAAGCAGACUACAGAAUGGCAUGUUUAAUAUGGGUCCAUUUAUAACCUUGGAUAUUUUUCAAUGUGUGUUUCAUAGAGAGAUUUUUGCUAAAAGGUUAAUGAUGGUUUUUUCUGGGCUAUGGUGUUUGGGUGAUCUUUACUUUUUUUAGACUUUUAUGUAUUUGAAAUUUUUAUAAUGAGCAUGUAUCAUUUUUGUUAUCAAAAAAUAAUAAAGCUAUUUUUAUUUUGGGAAAAAAAUGUUUUCUAC